UCAAACUUGGUCAUUUAGAGGAAGUAAAAGUCGUAACAAGGUUUCCGUAGGUGAACCUGCGGAAGGAUCAUUAACGAAGUCGCAAGUCGGUCGACCGUGCUGGCGGAGACGCACGUGCACGUCGGUCGCAAACCAUCCACACACCCGUGAACGUAUGGCCUCGAGUCUGAACGGCUCGGGGCAACCAUUUUUACCCACUCUGAUCGUAAAGGAAUGUCUCUGUGCUGAAUGCGCAAAAGCAAACAACUUUCAACAACGGAUCUCUUGGCUCUCGCAUCGAUGAAGAACGCAGC
rnacentral:misc_RNA from 1 species